UACAGAGGGGGCAAGCGUUAUUCGGAAUUAUUGGGCGUAAAGGGCGCGUAGGCGGCUUUGCAAGUGACGGGUGAAAUCCCUCGGCUUAACCGGGGAACUGCGUCUGAUACUGGAUGGCUUGAGAUCGGGAGAGGGAUGCGGAAUUCCAGGUGUAGCGGUGAAAUGCGUAGAUAUCUGGAGGAACACCGGUGGCGAAGGCGGCAUCCUGGACCGACACUGACGCUGAGGAGCGAAAGCCAGGGGAGCAAACGGG
rnacentral:rRNA from 1 species